CCUACGUGGCGCAGCAGUGAGGAAUAUUGGUCAAUGGACGAGAGUCUGAACCAGCCAAGUAGCGUGAAGGAUGACUGCCCUAUGGGUUGUAAACUUCUUUUAUAAAUGAAUAAAACGAGGCACGUGUGCCUUUUUGCAUGUACUUUAUGAAUAAGAAUCGGCUAACUCCGUGCCAGCAGCCGCGGUAAUACGGAGGAUCCGAGCGUUAUCCGGAUUUUUUGGGUUUAAAGGUAGCGUAGAUGGGUUGUUAAGUCAGUUGUGAAAGUUUGCGGCUCAACCGUAAAAUUGCAAUUGAUACUGGCAGUCUUGAGUACAGUUGAGGUAGGCGGAAUUCGUGGUGUAGCGGUGAAAGGCUUAGAUAUCACGAAGAACCCCGAUUGCGAAGGCAGCUUACUAAACUGUGACUGACAUUGAUGCUCGAAAGUGUGGGUAUCAAACAGGAUUAGAUACCCCUGUAGUC
rnacentral:rRNA from 1 species